rfam:Spinacia oleracea cultivar SynViroflay scaffold12857.con0007.1, whole genome shotgun sequence.
AGAGGCCUGUGACGAUCUUUCAAAAUUUUGCCUACAUUGUUUGAUAAUACAAUGAUAAAGCUAUAUUUGUGUCUGAGGCCCUA